AUUGUACUCCCUCCGUUCGGAAUUACUUGUCGAAGAAAUGAAUGUAUCUAGAUGUAUUUUAGUUGUAGAUACAUCCAUUUUUGUGACAAGUAAUUCCAAACGGAGGGAGUAAUUC
rnacentral:pre_miRNA from 1 species